UGAGCAAUGAGGAUAAAACUUGGUUGAUGAACCCUGACGACUCUUAUACGCUAUUCUGAGCCAUGG